AACGCGUGGGAAUCUACCUAGUUCUACGGAACAACAGUUGGAAACGACUGCUAAUACCGUAUACGCCCUACGGGGGAAAGAUUUAUCGGAAUUAGAUGAGCCCGCGUAAGAUUAGCUAGUAGGUGGGGUAACGGCUCACCUAGGCGACGAUCCCUAGCUGGUCUGAGAGGAUGACCAGCCACACUGGAACUGAGACACGGUCCAGACUCCUACGGGAGGCAGCAGUGGGGAAUAUUGCACAAUGGGCGAAAGCCUGUUGCAGCGACGCCGCGUGAGGGAUGACGGCCUUCGGGUUGUAAACCUCUUUCAGUAGGGAAGAAGCGAAAGUGACGGUACCUGCAGAAGAAGCGCCGGCUAACUACGUGCCAGCAGCCGCGGUAAUACGUAGGGUGCAAGCGUUAAUCGGAAUUACUGGGCGUAAAGCGUGCGCAGGCGGUUAUAUAAGACAGAUGUGAAAUCCCCGGGCUCAACCUGGGAACUGCAUUUGUGACUGUAUAGCUAGAGUACGGUAGAGGGGGAUGGAAUUCCGCGUGUAGCAGAGAAAUGCGUAGAUAUGCGGAGG
rnacentral:rRNA from 1 species